rnacentral:rRNA from 2 species
CUUCACAAUGUGCGAAAGCACGAUGAGGGGAUCCCAAGUGCUAGCACGUAAGUGUUAGCUGUUUCUUUGUCUAAAAAACAAAGAGAGUAAGAGCUGGGUAAGACGGGUGCCAGCCGCCGCGGUAAUACCUGCAGCUCAAGUGGUGGCCGCUAUUAUUGGGCCUAAAACGUCCGUAGCCGGUUUAGUAAAUGCUUGGGUAAAUCGUGUAGCUUAACUAUACGAACACCGGGUAGACUGCUAAACUUGGGACCGGGAGAGGCUAGAGGUACUCCUAGGGUAGAGGUGAAAUUCUGUAAUCCUAGGGGGACCACCAGUGGCGAAGGCGUCUAGCUAGAACGGGUCUGACGGUGAGGGACGAAGCCCUGGGGCGCGAACCGGAUUAGAUACCCGGGUAGUCCAGGGUGUAAACGCUGCUUGCUUGAUGUUAGUUGGGCUCCGAGCCCAACUAGUGUCGGAGAGAAGUUGUUAAGCAAGCUGCCUGGGAAGUACGGUCGCAAGACUGAAACUUAA